rnacentral:rRNA from 1 species
UGGGGAAUAUUGCACAAUGGGCGCAAGCCUGAUGCAGCCAUGCCGCGUGUAUGAAGAAGGCCUUCGGGUUGUAAAGUACUUUCAGUCGGGAGGAAGGUGGUAAGGUUAAUAACCUUGGCAAUUGACGUUACCGACAGAAGAAGCACCGGCUAACUCCGUGCCAGCAGCCGCGGUAAUACGGAGGGUGCAAGCGUUCAUCGGAAUUACUGGGCGUAAAGCGCACGCAGGCGGUUUGUUAAGUCAGAUGUGAAAUCCCCGGGCUCAACCUGGGAACUGCAUCUGAUACUGGCAAGCUUGAGUCUCGUAGAGGGGAGUAGAAUUCCAGGUGUAGCGGUGAAAUGCGUAGAGAUCUGGAGGAAUACCGGUGGCGAAGGCGGCCCCCUGGACGAAGACUGACGCUCAGGUGCGAAAGCGUGGGGAGCAAACAGG